GACACUAACAGCACCCAUUCGUUUUUUUCCCUUUGAAUACAAAAGCGCUCUCUCUUUAUUUGGGAGGAAUCACAAUAGCAUCAUGGCCCCUCAGGGGCAGACAUCCCAAAUAAAGAUUGUAUAAAUCCUACAGACCCACAAUUCUGGAGAUUUCCAAAGUGCCUGUAGUGAUGACACAUUCAUCUCAUUUAUACUCAAAAUAGUUCUUGGCUUAAGAUCGGGUUCAGGACUACCAGAACUUCUUAGAUGCUGGGAGAUCCCACCCUUAUCUGUAACACAGUGUAGGGAUAUAACCCACUUUCCAAGCUACUGUGAAGAUUAAAUGACAAAUUUUGUAAACUGUAAAAAUCCUAUGAAAGCAGAAGAGACUAUGGUUAUUGUUUUCCUUUUUGAACCAGAACAGUGCCUGGCACAUUCAGGCACUUGGUAAAUAUUUGUUAAACUAAUGAACGGAAGAGUGAAAUAGGACCUUGUCUGGAUGACUUCAACUGACAAACAACAAUGAGUAUUUACAGACACAGGGACACAGGGUGAAGACUCCCUCUUUGGUACACCAUCAAUAAGGACCACUGCGAGACUAUGAAGCCUCAGUUUCUGUUUUCUAAUACAAAUUUAUCAUCUGGAGAGACUCAAUCUGACAAUCCUGGCAAGCCUUCCCAAUUACUCUAACUUUGGUGAACCACACCCAACAGUUUCACAGGCCUAAAGAUCUGGAGGAACUGUACCUGAGGAGCUGUACUUAAAGAACUACAUCCAAGGAGCCUGAAUUCUUACCUUAUUCUGUGAGUACAAAAUCUGUUACUUUGAGGCUCACACUGUCCCAGAUUAGGCCAAUGGGAGCCUUUCACAGUGGUUCCUGCACAGGACACUUACGUUUGACCUUCUCAGCAUCUUUAGGAUGGCCGUCCUCAGAGGAAUGCUCCCUCAAACUUCUAUGGCACUAACCUGCCCAGGUGCCAGCAGAGAUGCUGCUGCUUUUAGUUCUGACAACCCACCACUGCGGAGGCAUGCCAACACUUCUGUUCCUUUAAGGAAGUCACACUGAGGGGCUACGCUCAGGUAUUUCCCCAAAACAUGCCAAGGGACAGCCCAGUAACAGCCAAACCUCAAGACUGGACGUCCUAGGAAAUUUUCCUGUUCAAUCCUCAAACUGCUUCUGUCUCUCUCUCACUUGUUCAAGCCUUUUAGCCUGUCUGUAUCUUAGCCGGGAAGAGGCAGAGCCCGCAAACUGAAACCACUGAGGCUGCUUCCAGCGCACACAGCUCUCUAGGCACCAGCAGCUCCUGAUGGGCAAGGCAGCACGUUCCCAGUUAUUCCACUAGCGCUCCAAGUCCCACAACUAAAAACCUACACUUUUCAACUUGUGACCUCAAAGGAGAAAGAAUAGAAUAAAAGGCGAGUUUUAGGGACUAAAAUCUUAAACACUGCCUCUAAAUUGGUUAAAAAUUUCUCUACACAGAUCCUUCUUUGUACCAAUUGCCUGUUUGGGGGAGUAAUAUCCCUUUAAGAGCUCUCUGGACAUAUACCUUUUCCCACGGUGACUGCAUUCUUGUCACACACUCAAAUUUUCCUCGUUUUUCAAUGUGCAGACUAAGUUCCAUCUUUAAUCAGUACCAUGUUCUGCCUUCACAGAAUUCCAGUUUUCAAGCCAUUUGCCCAGGGAACAUCAAACACUCAGCCGUACACAUAACUAUUUUUUGCAGUGUUUAAUAAUACACAGUUUACUAAAUACUGCCAGUCAUUAGCCAAUUAAAAAAUGCUGAGAUAGGUGUUUAAAUCAGCAUUUUACAGCCAGGAAAAUAAACACUCAUACAUUCAAACAUUUACGGAGUACCUAUUUCAUUCAUCCAAAAGCUAUUUACCAAAUAUUUUUGCAAGAAGCACCAAAUGUGCUGGGGAUGUAACAAUGAAAUGAACAGAGUCGCUGCGCUCAGGGACCGAAGAGCCACACAGUGCAGAGAGGAGGCGGCACAGGGCGCUCUGGGAGCACAAAAGGAGCGCUUAACCGAGUCUUGGGAAGUCAGGAAGGCUGCCGACAAGUGACCUAUAAAUCUAGACCUGGAGAACCAUGGGAGGUGACAAGGAAAAGUGUGCUUUAAAGGUUUUUUUAAAAGGGGGAGUGCAGAUACACAGGGGUCCAAGAGAAUAUGGAGAUAUGGAAAAUUUAGCAACUAUAAGCAGUUCAGGAAAGAUAAAUCCAGGGGUCUGAUUACAUAAAGAAGUUUCUCCUCUAUCCUGAGAGCACUAGGGAACCAUGACAGAUUCUUUAAGUCAAGUGACGUGAUCGGAAAUAUGUUUUAAAAAGACCAUCAUGGUUAGUUACUAUGUGGAGAAUAUACAGAAAAAUCAAGGGCAAGAUGAGAGGCAGGAAAACUGGUUAAGAAGAUUACAAUCCAAAAUAUAGAUGCUGGCUAGGAGUGGCAAGUACUGGUGAUUAACUUUAACUAGAUAGAAUGGAGGGGGUCCGUUUGGAAAAGGAAAGGAUGAUGCCUAGGAUACUAGCUUGGGCAGUACGGUGGGUGUGGUACCAUUUAUUGCGAUAGGAAGACAGCGAGUUGCUGCUUGCUUAGGCAAGAAGAGAAUGAAUUCCACUUUAGAUACGUGAGUUUGACAUCUAAGUAGAAAUGUCUAGUAGACAGUUGCAAAGCUCUGAGCCAGAUUUAUAGAUUCGGAAGUCAUGACAUGGUAACUGAAACUACCAGAGUGAAUAAGACUAUGUACAACUUCAAGGGAUAUAUGUGUAUCUUCUGACAUUAAAUGCAGAAUAAAGUGGUUUUUCCAUAGUAGGAGUUUGGAGCUUUUAUCAAGUUCUCAAAGAUUAAGACCACCGAUACCAAUAGUAACAGAAGUCACGAGAGUGGUGAAUGACAACCCGCAGGAAGAAACCGUGGAGAAGGUAGAAGAUCUGAAUAACACCGACACGGAAGGAAUGGGAAAAGGAAGAGGAGUUUACAGAAGAGGACAGGAGAGGCCAGAUAAGCAGAUGGAGCGCUGAGAGUACGUGUCCGGCGGGCCGUUCAAGGGCGAGUGUCCAACAUGAGUGAGCGGUCGAUCAUGUGCAAACUACAGAAGGUACGGAGUGAGACAUCUGCUGGACGUGACUGGCGACCUUGGUUACAACGUCUCAGAGCUGUGCUUAGGGCAGAGGUCCCCCAGCAGGUGGUAAUGACAGGUGAGCAAGCAGACCCAGGAGUGCUGACAACUUUUUCAGAAAGCAUGGCUGUGAAGGGGAAGAGAUACAGUAGGAGGAAGGGCAUACGGAAUUUAAGGGAGGGAUCUUUCACAAUGGAAACGGAUUUAGGAUGCAUUUUAAGUAGUCGAGAAUUUACCACCUCGAGUCAGACACUGCGAGGUUAAACCCAGGCCCGUCUACUCACUAACGACAGGCAAAUCACUUAACAGCUCCACGUCUAUUUUGGCAACUGCACAACAAGAAAAAUAAACCCUGAGGACUGCUGUGCGGAAUUAAAAGAGAUGAUGCUCAUCAACUAUUUUUGAGCACUGAGUCCUCCUGGAGUCUGGGCAAACGGACCUCAGGAAAUGUUUAUUUACUAAGAAUGGGAAGAAACCAGCAGAGAAGUCGAAAAUACAGAGGGAAUGGAAAACGAUGUGUUCAUCGAGGGUCCUGAGACUCCAGGAGAAUAUAUCGUAUCUAGUCCAGAACAAGAGAAAACUGACCUCCGGCAGGGAAGCCAAUCUCCCACUUUCUCUGUCAAAGAGGACCAAAGAUAACUUGCUGAAUGGGAAGCCGCGGAACGGGAAGUGUGAGGUGUGGACACGGUUUUAAGUGGCUGCCCUGAAGAAGGAGAAUGGCAGAAGAGGCUGCAGAGAAGAACACACGAGAGAGAGCUUGCAGAGACCCACUGAGUCCAGUGGAGACGCAAAAGCAUAACUGUCUCGGGCAAAGCUGGGCAAUUUUCUCCAACACUACUCUGGAGCCGACGGAAAAGCCCAGGAGGCUGACAACACGUUUGCGAGCAGACGCAAACAAGACGGCGAGAGCUCAAGCGAAAGACCUGUCUGCUUCACUGGACGCGAAGGGCAGUGCGAGAGCUGGGGGGACCGAGGAGCAGUCCCGGGCCACCUCGAGGAGCGCACGACCGAGACGACGGCCAGUCCGGCCUCCCCGAGGGCCUGGGACACCCCCCACCCCGCGCCCCGGCCCCGUCGCUGGGACACACUUACCAGCAGGCCCUCCACGUUGAUGGGGUCUCGGCAGCGGCGCCGCACCGUCUCCUCCGCCGGGUCCACGAGCAGGCUGGGCAGCUUCCGCGCCGGCCGCUGCUGACUCAUGCUGCCCAGCCGGCCGCCUCUCGCCUCGCACCCCGCGAGCUCUCCCGCCUUCUCCCGCUCGGGUCGGGCACCGCCCCCGACCCGCCGGGUCCCGGGGGCCAAGCACGAACUGGGCUCCUGGCCUGCCCGGAGGCGCCGCCUGGCUAGGCCGGCCCUCGGACGGGCGCGCAGCUGCCCCACGACCCCGGGAGCUGGAACGCGGGCAGGAGGAGAGCAGGGUGACCCACGGCCCUCAGGACGCCAGGCCCGCCAUCUUCCCGCAUGCGCAGUGCGUCGCCCCCAGUGCGCAUGCCCGGCGCGGCCGGAGCGCUCCCAAACACAGACCCGCUCCCGAAGGCCGGAGCCCGAGAAGUCCCGGAGAGCGGAGUCCGCGGAAAGGAUGGCGAAGGAAAAGGAAGACAUGGAGCAGGAAUUCCAGACGAAGGGAACGGGGCGAGAGGAAAGAGGCAGCCGAGACAACACAGUGGUCGCCUCGGAAUUCUCGACACUAAAGCCUGUGCCUGGCAGGAGUACGUGCUGAGGAGAGAACUAAGUCUGAGGGGUCCUUACCUUGUGCUCCAGUGGCCCCCACGGAACCAGAAUGCGUCAGUACCCUUUUUAGGAAGGUGAUGAGGCACGAGGACAAACACUUGGCGGGAAAGGAGUGUCGUAGAGAUGGAAGGAUGCAGAAAGAGGAGAGGUGGCACGGAGGAAGGAACAGACGAACCUGGACUGGAGCAAGUCCUGCAUCCACCCUUAUUAGCCUCACUGGCAAGCAUCUUAACCCUUAGGAUCCUCAGUUUCUCUGUUUGUAAACGGAGGGUAAACAUACCUCCAAUUCUGCUGUAUUAGAGACAAUGGACGUCAAGUCCCUGGUGCAUUGAAUCCAUCUUCAGUGGUAACACAAACUUCCUAGCUUCACAGGGGCUGUUUCUAACCAAGUCUUAAAGCUCCCUACCCCAGUGACUAAAAAUGGUUCUAAAAUGACAUCAAAUGGAACAAAGCCGGGCGGCUGACUCUUUGUUCUGAGGUUUUGUUCAGAGUUUGACAAGCUUUCCAGAGAGCUCCCAAGAAGAUGCUAGCCCACGAAAGUUGUCAUUGGUCCAGAUGCACGGAUUCAGUCUCUCCACUUAGCAACAGUAUUUGCCUCCUGCUUCAGAAAAGGAAACAAAAAAGUAAGCCUGCAGUUAAAUACACCCACAAGGGCAAAUCCCCAUGAAAGCCUGUCAAAAAAGAGCUGUGGGAAAGAUGAGCUAUUGCUGUACGCCUGGGUGAACUCCAAUGAGGAAGCCACAAAGGGGAGGGAGGAUGGGCACAGGGGCUUGUCAGUUGCAGCCCCCCAAAGGGUUUCAGCCUUUCCCUCCUCCUGAUUCCCACUGCCCCACGACUGCCCUCAUUGUCAUUGUUCCUGGACUAUUUUAACUGCUUCCUAAUUCAUUCGCCUGUCCUGCCAUUUCCAAGGGACUCUAUACUAUCACUGUCAAAUUAAACAACUGCCUUUUGGGGGGUGGCUGUUGACCUUUCAUUGCAGGAGAAAUCUUUCUAAAGCGUGGGUCUGAUCUCAUCACUCCUCUGCUUAAAAGCUGUCAGUGUACUUUGUCUGUAUUAUGCUCGAGGUUAGUGGUUUCCCCUGGGCACUGGUCACUUGCCUGCCUAGCUGUCUCCCGCAUCACACUCUUGGAGGGAGGGCAGGGGCUGGGUCCUGGGCACUCAGGGGCCCCCACCACCUUAUCAGAGCCAUUGGAUGCAUCACUUUCUCUCAGUCACAUUAAUCUUCAUUCAGUUCCUCAAAAGCUUUCCCCCACUGCUGAGUCUUCUCACAUCUUGUUUUCUUGGCUAGAACGUUAACCCUUUGACACCUCCCCUAGCAAAUGCCUCACCCUUAGUUUGCACAUUCUCCCCAACCCCCAGAAAGGCUUCUCUGAACCCCCAGUUGAGGCUAGCGCCCCAGCCUCCUUCCCACGUGUUGUCUGAUGAGCCCCACAACCUGGACUGAUGCCCCCAGUAACCUUUCACCAUCCAUAGACACAUUACAUUAUAAAUAAAUAGCAUUUGAAAAAAAACUAAACUCUUUACUAUGUUGACUUCAAAAUGUAAAUUCUAAAGCAAAACAUGACAACCCAAAUUAUAGAGGUAAUAGUUUGUCUUAAAUCUUUGAAGCACACCUCAACGCUGGAUUUUGUUUUAAUUCAGCAUUAUCAGAUGAUUAAGUUUAGCAACUUUUAUUUUUCCUCCGACUGAAUUUUAUGAUGAAUGAUACUAAUGUUCUUAGUAUUUCUUAAAUAUUGUAGGUUUACGUUAGUUUCAUUUUGGGAAAAGAAAAUCCAUUUUAUUAAUUGUGUUAUUGUGUUAUUAAUUGUGCUUUUAUAAAAUCCAUUUGUAUUAAUUGUGUGGAAAGAAGACUCACAAUCAGCCAACUUGAAACCUUUUGUUUUCUUUGUUAGGUAGUUACACAUCAUUUUUAUAAUGAAAAAGAUAAAUGAUAAUACCUUCCCCUAAAAGAAAAGAAAGUUGCCAAAUAUUGGAGGAUAACCACGUUGGUUUCAGACUUCUGAUACCAACAGUACAAAAAUAUCAUUAGACCUCUGAGAAAUUUUGGACAAUGAAAAUUAAACAAGAAAACUGUUAAUUUUUUGAAGAGGCUCAUUUAUAUGGCUCAAAAUUCAAAAGGUACCAGAGUAAACAGUGAAAAAUGUCCCUCCCACGCCUGUCUCUCAGCAGCGAAGUCUAAAGUCGUCUCUGAAGCUCACGGGUUUUAUAUGGAUUGUUGCAGAGAUAUUUUACGCACAAAUAGUGCUCUAUGUUAUUUCCCCAAGCCUUGUUUGCACACGAAUAAUCAUACUAUUUCUCGAUUUUUUUUAACCUAGCAAAAUAUCUUGCAGAUUGUUCCCUAACAGUGCAACAAAAGUUUUUCUCACUCUU